rnacentral:rRNA from 1 species
AUUGAACGCUGGCGGCAUGCUUUACACAUGCAAGUCGAACGGCAGCACGGACUUCGGUCUGGUGGCGAGUGGCGAACGGGUGAGUAAUACAUCGGAACGUGCCCAGUUGUGGGGGAUAACUACUCGAAAGAGUAGCUAAUACCGCAUGAGAACUGAGGUUGAAAGCAGGGGAUCGUAAGACCUUGCGCAACUGGAGCGGCCGAUGGCAGAUUAGGUAGUUGGUGGGAUAAAAGCUUACCAAGCCGACGAUCUGUAGCUGGUCUGAGAGGACGACCGGCCACACUGGGACUGAGAAACGGCCCAGACUCCUACGGGAGGCAGCAGUGGGGAAUUUUGGACAAUGGGCGAAAGCCUGAUCCAGCAAUGCCGCGUGCAGGAUGAAGGCCUUCGGGUUGUAAACUGCUUUUGUACGGAACGAAAAGCUUCGGGCUAAUACCCUGGAGUCAUGACGGUACCGUAAGAAUAAGCACCGGCUAACUACGUGCCAGCCGCCGCUGUAAGAC